AGUGAACGCUGGCGGUAGGCCUAACACAUGCAAGUCGAACGGCAGCACAGCAAGAGCUUGCUCUUACGGGUGGCGAGUGGCGGACGGGUGAGGAAUACAUCGGAAUCUACUUUUUCGUGGGGGAUAACGUAGGGAAACUUACGCUAAUACCGCAUACGACCUACGGGUGAAAGCAGGGGAUCUUCGGACCUUGCGCGAUUGAAUGAGCCGAUGUCGGAUUAGCUAGUUGGCGGGGUAAAGGCCCACCAAGGCGACGAUCCGUAGCUGGUCUGAGAGGAUGAUCAGCCACACUGGAACUAAGACACGGUCCAGACUCCUACGGGAGGCAGCAGUGGGGAAUAUUGGACAAUGGGCGCAAGCCUGAUCCAGCCAUACCGCGUGGGUGAAGAAGGCCUUCGGGUUGUAAAGCCCUUUUGUUGGGAAAGAAAAGCAGCAGGUUAAUACCCCGCUGUUCUGACGGUACCCAAAGAAUAAGCACCGGCUAACUUCGUG
rnacentral:rRNA from 1 species